rnacentral:rRNA from 1 species
AACGAACGCUGGCGGCAUGCCUAACACAUGCAAGUCGAACGAGAUCUUCGGGUCUAGUGGCGCACGGGUGCGUAACGCGUGGGAAUCUGCCCUUUGGUUCGGAAUAACAGUUGGAAACGACUGCUAAUACCGGAUGAUGACGAAAGUCCAAAGAUUUAUCGCCAGAGGAUGAGCCCGCGUAGGAUUAGCUAGUUGGUGUGGUAAAGGCGCACCAAGGCGACGAUCCCUAGCUGGUCUGAGAGGAUGAUCAGCCACACUGGGACUGAGACACGGCCCAGACUCCUACGGGAGGCAGCAGUGGGGAAUAUUGGACAAUGGGCGAAAGCCUGAUCCAGCAAUGCCGCGUGAGUGAUGAAGGCCUUAGGGUUGUAAAGCUCUUUUACCCGGGAUGAUAAUGACAGUACCGGGAGAAUAAGCUCCGGCUAACUCCGUGCCAACCGCCGCGGUAA